AAGUUACCGCUUAAGCCCUCUCGUAUAACCCCACUAAUAUGGUUUGGGGGUCUCUACCAGGAACCGAUAAUUUCUGAUUACGAAGAGUAUUGCGUUAUGC
rnacentral:ncRNA from 15 species